rnacentral:rRNA from 1 species
UGCCUACGGGCGGCUGCAGUAGGGAAUAUUGGUAAUCUGGGAAACCGGGAACCAGCAACGCCGCGUGCACGAUGAAGGCCUUCGGGUCGUAAAGUGCUUUUUGAAGGGAUGAGGAAGGACAGUACCUUCAGAAUAAGCCUCGGCUAACUACGUGCCAGCAGCCGCGGUAAAACGUAGGAGGCGAGCGUUAUCCGGAUUUACUGGGCGUAAAGCGUGUGUAGGCGGUUUGAUAAGUUGGAUGUGAAAGCUCCCGGCUCAACUGGGAGAGGUCGUUCAAAACUAUCAGACUAGAGAGUGGUAGAGGGAGGUGGAAUUCCGCGUGUAGUGGUGAAAUGCGUAGAUAUGCGGAGGAACACCAGUGGCGAAAGCGGCCUCCUGGCCCAUUUCUGACGCUCAGACACGAAAGCUAAGGUAGCAAACGGGAUUAGAUACCCCAGUAGUC